AUUGAACGCUGGCGGCAUGCUUUACACAUGCAAGUCGAACGGUAACAGGGUGCUUGCACCGCUGACGAGUGGCGAACGGGUGAGUAAUACAUCGGAAUGUACCCAGUAAUGGGGGAUAACGCUUCGAAAGGAGUGCUAAUACCGCAUACGCCCUGAGGGGGAAAGUGGGGGACCGCAAGGCCUCACGUUAUUGGAGCAGCCGAAGGCUGAUUAGCUAGUUGGUGAGGUAAAGGCUCACCAAGGCGACGAUCAGUAGCGGGUCUUAGGGGACGAUCCGCCACACUGGAACUGGGACACGGUCCAGACUCCUACGGGAGGCAGCAGUGGGGAAUCUUGGACAAUGGGCGAAAGCCUGAUCCAGCAAUGCCGCGUGCGUGAAGAAGGCCUUCGGGUUGUAAAGCGCUUUUGUCUGGGAGCAAAUCCUGGCCACUAAUACAGGUCGGGGAUGAGAGUACCAGAAGAAUAAGGACCGGCUAACUCCGUGCCAGCCGCCGCCGUAACAC
rnacentral:rRNA from 1 species